GAUGAACGCUGGCGGCGUGCUUAACACAUGCAAGUCGAACGGUGAACACGGAGCUUGCUCUGUGGGAUCAGUGGCGAACGGGUGAGUAACACGUGAGCAACAUGCCCCUGACUCUGGGAUAAGCGCUGGAAACGGCGUCUAAUACUGGAUAUGUGACGUGACCGCAUGGUCUGCGUCUGGAAAGAAUUUCGGUUGGGGAUGGGCUCGCGGCCUAUCAGCUUGUUGGUGAGGUAAUGGCUCACCAAGGCGUCGACGGGUAGCCGGCCUGAGAGGGUGACCGGCCACACUGGGACUGAGACACGGCCCAGACUCCUACGGGAGGCAGCAGUGGGGAAUAUUGCACAAUGGGCGCAAGCCUGAUGCAGCAACGCCGCGUGAGGGACGACGGCCUUCGGGUUGUAAACCUCCUUUUAGCAGGAAAGAAGCGAAAGUGAC
rnacentral:rRNA from 1 species